rnacentral:lncRNA from 1 species
GCGGAGAGAGGCGGAGAGGCGGAGAGAGGCAGGUGGAUCUCUGUUAGUUCGAGACCAGCCUGGUCUACAAGAGUUCCAGGACAUCCUCCAAAGCCACAGAGAAACCCUGUUUCAAAAAACCAAAACAACAACAACAACAACAACAACAACAAAAAAGAUAAAGUCUCUGGGAGAUAAUUAGGUCACAAGGGUGGAGCCUUCAUGAAUGUCAUUAAUUCUCUUAUAAAAAGACUCUAUUUAGGGCUGGGAGAUGGCUCAGUAGAUAAAGCACUUGUAUGGAACCCCAAAGACCUGAGUUCAGAUCCCAGCAUCUGUAAAACCAAGGAGCAGGAUCUUAUAGCUGAAACUCCAUUCACAUGGAGGCAUAAAGGAGACAGGCAGCUCCUGGGGGGCUCAUUGGCCAGCUAAUGUAGUCAGUCAAUGAGCUCCAGGUUCAAUGAGAGAACCUGUUUGAAAAACAGAGGAGGAAGUCAGUAUUUGAUGUUCAUUCUUGGCUUCCACACACACUCCCAGGUCAACAUUCCUCUACCUGUCAUCAUGCACACAUAACACACACACAUACACACACUCCCAGGUGAACAUUCCCCCACAUGUCAUCAUGCAUACAUAACAAUAACACACACACACACACACACACACACACACACACACACACACACACACGAGCGGGUGUAUUUGGAGUAGGGUAGCUAGUACCCUGAAGAGUUCUGGCAAUCAUAUUGUUUGAGAACUAGUUGUAAUAUUAUGGUCAUUCCAUGAAUAUCACAUGUUGAAUAAGUGGUUUGGUCACUUGGAUAAGAGGCUGCAGUAGUAGAAACACCGUCUAGUUUGACCAUCUGAUAGUCUGCCAUGUUAAUGUAAGGAAGGCAUGAGUUUUUCUGUGACAGCCUGCAUCACAGUUUGGGGUUAAAUCUUCUGUUACACUUUCAUUGGUUUUCAAGCUCUGUCUUGCAAAAACUGUCCAAAUGAGAAGUAAGCUACUUGAAAAGACUGGCUUCCUUUUCUUUUCUUUCCCUCUCUUCUCUCCCUUUCUCUUCUUUCUUUUCUUGUUCUGGGGAUUGAAUCUAGGGCCUUCUACAUGCUAGUCAAGUGCUCUGUCAUUGAGUUCCAUUCUUAGACCUCCUAUUUGUUGUUGUUUUGGUUUUCCGAGACAGGGUUUCUCUAUGUAACUUUGGAGCCUGUCAUGGAACUCACUCGGUAGACCAGGCUGGCCUCAAACUUUAUUGUUACAUGCCUCUGCUUCCCGAGUGCUGGGAUUAAAGGUGUAAGCCACUCCUGCUGGCCAGUGAGACCUCUUUUACUUUGUUGUUUUUUCCAAUGAGCUGUUCUUAAAUUGUUCAGAGUGGCCUUGAACUUCCUUCAGUAGCCUAGACAGGCCUUGAACUUUCCAUUUUCUGGCCUUAACCUCCUGGGAUUCCAAGCCUGUACCACCAGGCCCAGCUUGGAUGGUGUCUAUGACUUUUCUUCAGGUACCACAUGGGUGUGGUCUGGUGGAGGGGACCUGGAUCUGUUGACUGAGA